GCUGGAGUGGAGCUAACACCUGUGGUGGAUGUCUGGAAGCAAGGGGGUCAGGUGCUCAGGGCAAUAGCCAUGAGACUGCUGCCCUAGAAAAGGAGCAGAGCUGGUCAGAACUGGGACCCUGCCAGAAACCCUGAGAGAGGUGGAGCAGAAACCUGGAAUAGUGUUCUUUGGUUGCCAUAGCAACAAUCCAUGGUCAAGCUGUCAACAGAUGCCGAGAGGUCCAGCUGUGAGGUCAAAUGACAAUACUCUACAGUCAGGAGAGCUGAGCUGCCCCAUAGCUGGGCACAAUCCUCUUUCCCCAAAAAAGGAAAGGCACACACUUCGUUGCCAAGAGAUGGAUUCCUAAGAGGCAUUACAGGGAAGAGCAUUCAUGUUACUGAUCAGAUUUCAGAUCCUUUAUUCCAAAGGAGGAAGGGGAAAAAGAAGUUUUCUCCAUUUGUCAGCUUGCCAGAGGGAUAUACUAGUUUUAAAGAAUCCUCCCGUUUAAAAAGUGAUACUUUUCUUUGGUCCAUGUGAUGUCCCUUUUACAAAUUUCAUGUCACAUUUGUCAGACAUACUCUCUUAAGUUCACAAAAAGAGUAUCUGAGU